GGGAGGUGCUCGCAAGCGGGUUGCCGGCGUUCGCGCUCGGCGCGCGGUGUGUUCCUUAAGGGGCCUGAACCCGGAGAGUGUGGAACGAGCGAAUCGAAACAAAAACCGUGGAGCCCGCGGGCUGCUGGCUUUUCCUUCAACACUACUUUUGGUGUUUUUCUUGAAACAGGAGAUAAAAAUUUCUUCCCAACCCUUUCCCCUCCGUUCAUGUGUGUGUCUGUUGUGCGUCAGGGUGUGUCUGUGUGUGAUGUGCGGUGUUCGUGGUGGGGCGUGUGUGUGCUGUGUAGAGGGGCAUAUGGGGUUUGCUCUGCGUCCGGGUUACACCAAUGGGAAGGGCCCAUCGAAAGCGGAGAUGACGGUCCUGGCUCCAUCACUGCACAGCUUCGGACGAAUGGCUUCACCUUUUUGGUCCGCAGUUUGUUUAGCUGUUUCAAAAUAUGUUGAGCAGCUGGCCAGCGCAACACUACCUGCUGAUCUAGACAAGGACUCUGAAGGUGGAAAGCUCAAUGGAGUCUCCUAUAGCAGUUGAGGAAACACCAGCUACUUUAACAGGAUGUUGGACUUCCCUGGUGGCGCAGUGGUUAAGAAUCUGCCUGCC